GCUUGCUUCGGCAACACAUACACUAAAAUUGGAAUGAUCAGCAAUUAGCAUGGCCCCUGAGCAAGGAUGACACACAAAUUCAUGAAGCAGUCUCUAUUUUU
rnacentral:snRNA from 1 species